GAUAGAAUAUUCACAUUUAUUUGAGUUUGAAUUUUAUUUUUGUACCUCACCUUGCUCAGGUGCAAGGCAGGCCCCUUGGCGCCUUAGUGCGCCUUUAAUAACUAUGGUUCAGACUUUAGACAAAUUAAUUCCUUUCAAUGAAAAUUAAAAAAAAAAAAAACAUGUAUUGAUAAGAAAGAAAGAAAUAAAGAACCACCACUAAUAGUCGACCAACAAAUGACAGAAUAACAGAUCUCAUCAACCCCCAGCUCCAUGAAUCGAAAUGAUCUAAAUUAUGCCGAUGAUGAAAGUUCAAACCUCUUCCUAAGCCAAAGUAAAGGCCAAGAAGGUUCCUGCAAUUACAGUUCCAGCGAGGAUAACUCUAUCAAACCUAGCAGCAGCGAAGUUGCCACUGGGUGGAGGUUGAGAAGCUGGAGUCUGUGAAGGAGAAGAAGAGGGUGAAGGGGUUGCUGGUGCAGGGGGAGAGGAGGUAGGGGAAGAUGGGGCAGGAGAUGGAGGAGAAACUGGUGAAGGAGUUGGAGCAUUCUUUGGAGAUGGUGUAGGAGCUGGAGACGAUGGAGCAGGCGCUGACGUUGGUGUUGGUGAUGGGGUUGGCGGAGCUGUUGGUGAUGGAGUUGGUGCUGCUUUUGGCGCUGGUGUUGGUGCUGCUUUUGGUGCCGGAGUUGGUGAAGCACCAGGUGCCUGUGCCAUGCAAGAAGCGGCCAAGAGACCCAAGAUCAAGAAAACUUUCAAAACGCAAGAACCCAUCUUCAUCUUUACACAAACUUUGAGAGAGAAAAGAGAGAACAAGAAGAAGGGUUUAGAUUGCUUGAGAGUUUGAGUGAAGAGAGCGAAAAGAGUCGGCAAUAUAAAAAGAGGAGAGGAGAGAAGAAAGGACAAUAAUGGGUUAGAUAGAUGAAUAGAAAUUAAUCAAGAAGAUCAAUAAUGAAAUGUUAAGAGAUUCUUGAAAUUAUUAAACACUGUACGAGAAAAACUAUAUAUUUAUAGUUCACUCACACAUCCAUAGCCUGGGUAACCAAAUUUAUUGAUAAUUAAUCUAUUGCCCUUCCUGGAACCUUCUUCAAAUAUCUCACACACGAGCCCACAACAACUAAAACGACAAACCAGGAUAUGAAACCUUGUGAAGGCAUUCGAG
rnacentral:misc_RNA from 1 species